UUACCCACAUCUGUUAAGGAUGUGAGGAGGAAGACGCAGUGAACUGAAACAUCUAAGUAGCUGCAGGAAGAGAAAGCAAAAGCGAUUGCCUUAGUAGCGGCGAGCGAAACGGCAGAAGGGCAAACCGAAGAGUUUACUCUUCGGGGUUGUAGGACUGCAAUGUGGACUCAAAGAUUAUAGAAGAAUGAUUUGGGAAGAUCAGCCAAAGAGAGUAAUAGCCUCGUAUUUAAAAUAGUCUUUGUACUUAGCAGUAUCCUGAGUACGGCGGGACACGUGAAAUCCCGUCGG
rnacentral:rRNA from 1 species